rnacentral:rRNA from 1 species
UACGUAGGGUGCAAGCGUUAAUCGGAGUUACUGGGCGUAAAGCGUGCGCAGGCGGUUGUGUAAGUUUGUCGUGAAAUCCCCGGGCUCAACCUGGGAAUUGCGAUGAAGACUGCACGGCUAGAGUGUGUCAGAGGGGGGUAGAAUUCCACGUGUAGCAGUGAAAUGCGUAGAUAUGUGGAGGAACACCGAUGGCGAAGGCAGCCCCCUGGGAUAACACUGACGCUCAUGCACGAAAGCGUGGGGAGCAAACAGG